UACGUAGGGGGCAAGCGUUGUCCGGAAUCAUUGGGCGUAAAGCGCGUGUAGGCGGCUGAGUAAGUCUGCUCUGAAAGCCCGGGGCUCAACCCCGGGAGGCGGGUGGAUACUGCUCAGCUCGAGUCCGGAAGAGGAGUGUGGAAUUCCUGGUGUAGCGGUGAAAUGCGCAGAUAUCAGGAGGAACACCAAUGGCGAAGGCAGCUCGCUGGGACGGUACUGACGCUGAGACGCGAAAGCGUGGGGAGCAAACAGG
rnacentral:rRNA from 1 species